rnacentral:rRNA from 1 species
AUUGAACGCUGGCGGCAUGCCUUACACAUGCAAGUCGAACGGUAACAGGUCUUCGGAUGCUGACGAGUGGCGAACGGGUGAGUAAUACAUCGGAACGUGCCUAGUAGUGGGGGAUAACUACUCGAAAGAGUGGCUAAUACCGCAUGAGAUCUACGGAUGAAAGCAGGGGGUGGCAAGACCUUGUGCUACUAGAGCGGCCGAUGGCAGAUUAGGUAGUUGGUGGGAUAAGAGCUUACCAAGCCGACGAUCUGUAGCUGGUCUGAGAGGACGAUCAGCCACACUGGGACUGAGACACGGCCCAGACUCCUACGGGAGGCAGCAGUGGGGAAUUUUGGACAAUGGGCGAAAGCCUGAUCCAGCAAUGCCGCGUGCAGGAUGAAGGCCUUCGGGUUGUAGACUGCUUUUGUACGGAACGAAAAGCCCCGGGUUAAUACCCUGGGGUCAUGACGGUACCGUAAGAAUAAGCACCGGCUAACUACGUGCCAGCCGCCGCAGUAA